ACCAGUUGUAUGGAUCGCUUCGUCUGAUGGUCCUCCUAUUGACUCAAGUGGACGUGACUGAACCCUAGGAGUGCUCAGCCCAUCAAGGUGACGUCGAUGCAGAUGACAUUG
rnacentral:pre_miRNA from 1 species